rnacentral:rRNA from 1 species
UACGUAGGUGGCAAGCGUUGUCCGGAUUUAUUGGGCUUAAAGGGUGCGUAGGCGGCCCUGUAAGUCAGUGCUGAAAUAUCCCAGCUUAACUGGGAGGGUGGCAUUGAUACUGCGGGGCUAGAGUACAGAUGAGGUAGGCGGAAUUGACGGUGUAGCGGUGAAAUGCUUAGAUAUCGUCAAGAACACCGAUAGCGAAGGCAGCUUACUAGGCUGUAACUGACGCUGAGGCACGAAAGUGUGGGGAUCAAACAGG